rnacentral:lncRNA from 1 species
AUGGAAGGAGCUGAGAGCAAGAUGAUGCUAAGAUUUCUAUGGAACCAAAGUAUUUCCUUAUGCAACUCAAGCGGCAGGCUCAUGAUUUACAUACUUGUUAACAAUUUCUACCAUCAACACUGGGCUUCCCUAGUGGCUCAGACGGUAAAGCAUCUGUCUGCAAUGCAGGAGAUCCGGGUUCAAUCCCUGGGCUGGAAAGAUCCCCUGGAGAAGGAAAUGGCAGCCCAUUCCAGUAUUAUUGCCUGGAAGGUCCCACUGGAAAAUCCCAUGGACCGUGGAGCCUGGUAGGUUACCGUCUAUUGUCCAUGGGGUCGCAAAGAGUCGGAAACGAGUUAGUGACUUCACUUCACCAUCAACACUAUCCUGGGGUCGCAAAGAGUCGGACUCGACUUAGUGACUUCGCUUCACCAUCAACACUCUCCUGCCUUCUGUAACAUCUGAGAUGAUUGUGAAUGAUGACACUCAAUGAUAAUUUUUUUCUUUUCCCUUUUGGGACAUUGAGAGUGGGAUUAUCUCUCUUUCCUCACAAAAAUAUUAUACUAUAUCAUGCAUGAAAAUUAACUUGAUAUAGAAAUAUACAGAUAUAUCUUCAGGAAUUUUUCUUCUCUAUCUGAACUUGUAGUUCACAUUAUUCUUCCUUUAUGUCUACUUUCACACUCUGUAGAUCCUAAGGAGUAUUUGUGAAUUACUUAUUAUUUUUCCUUGAAAUAUUUAAGAGAGUUUUUCUACUGAUUUAUUUGUGUUAGUAACACACUAAACACCAGGUUAUAAGUAAAAUAUAUUUAUUCUGGGAAUGCAUUUCUAAGGAUAUUUAAGAAACCACAAAGUUUUAUUGUUAUAUAUGACUACAUUAUCUAGCUAUACAGCAUUAUUAUUAGUCCCCAACUUACUUUGUGUCUUCCUGUUUAUUAGUCUCCACAUCAGGUCGGUUUUAUAGUCAUGCAUAACUUAUUUAUGACAUCUCUCCUAAAUCUGGUUCUCUUUAUUCCCCCUGUUACUGACCAAUAACAAAUCCUCAUCAGCAUUUUAAAACUGUAAAGUAUCCUUACAUGGAGUAUUCCUGCAUUUCUCACCCCCCCCCAAUUUAUCUUUUCUUUUCCAGAAAGGAACUGUUAAAAUAGUGAAUACUCCUAAACAAACAGAAAAUCAUUGGAACAAGAAAAAAGUACCCUCUAUUGCUACACUUUCUUUCUAACUGCAUCUCUCAAAAUUCUGCAUUCCAUUUAUAGGCACAACAAAUUGAAAACAAACAAAUAAUGUAAUAAAUAAUUUUCAUACUGUGAUGGCUGCAUCUGAAGUUCUCAUUUCUUGCAAUGCCUUUUUCUGAACUUCUCUCCUAUGUGUACCUGCUUCAUUCUUGAAAAUCCUCAUCGCUAUCUGCCUUUUCCAUGGUUUCGUCGCCUUUCCCAUACUUAUAGUACACAUGAUGACAUCAUUGCUCAAAUUUAACUAAAUCCUGAUUUGAAAUGCUCUGAUAAUUAGUCAUGUUGAGCAUUUUCUCAUGUUCUCUUUGGCCAUUAUUAUGUCUUCUUUGAAGGAAUGCCUAUUAGAUCUUCUGCCCAUUUAAAAAAAUUUUUUUCUGACAUAGAACUGCAUGAGCUAUUUUGCUAGUUUUAAAGGUUAACCUCUUAUAAGUCACUUCAUUUGCAAAUAGUUUCUCUGGAUCUGUGACUUGUCUUUUUCUUGUUUGUUUACAGUUUCCUUUGUUGUGCAGAAGUUUUAAGUUUAAUUAGGUCACAUUUGUUUAGGUUUUACUUUCAUUCUCUAGGAAGUGGAUCCAAAAAGAUACUGCGAGUGUGUUCACUUAGUCGCUCAGUCAUGUCUAACUCUUUACGACCCCAUGGACUGUAGCCCCACCAUGCUGCUCUGCCCAUGGGGAUUCUCCAGGCAAGAACACUGGAGUGGAUUGCCAUGCCCUUUUUCAGAGGAUCUUCGCAACCCUGGGAUCAAACCCAGCUCUCUCAGAUCACAGGCAGAUUAUUUACUGUUCGAGCCACCUACAAUUUAUGUCAAAGAGUUUUCUGUCUACAUUUUCCUCUGAAAGUUUUAAAAUGUUUGCCCUUUUAUUUAGGUCUUUGAUCCAUUCUGUAUGGUGUUAAGGAGUGUUCUCAUUUCAUUUUUUACGUGUAACUUUCCACUUUUCCCAGAUUUAUUUAUUGAUUGAUAUCAGAAUUAUUUCUUGAAGAGACUGGCU